rnacentral:lncRNA from 1 species
CUGGAGCCGGCAUGGGUGGGCGCCGGGGGGCUGGGAGGAUCCGCUGGCAUCCUGGCCUGGGGCAGGGGGCCCCGGCUCGGUAGGGGGCCGGCCCGGCAGCGGGGAGCCUGGGGACUGGUGCGGGAGCGGCCGGCCUGAGCGAGAGCAGCGGGGUGAGUGGUUUGCGCUGGGGGAAGUGGGCGCUAGGCCCCGGCUGUGCUCGGCGCUGCACAGAACAAGGAGACCCCCCCCGGCCGGCGGCUCCGGGUCCCGGGGACCCCCCCGAUCCAGGGCUCAGCUCCUCUCUGUAUGACCCGUAGCUAAAUCGCUGUUCUCACACACCCGUCAGAGCUUCCAGCAUUGCCGCAGCAGCCCCACUCCGGAGCGGCUCGUGCCGGGGCUGGACCCAGCGAUCUCCGGGUCAUCGAGCCGAGCGGGCUGCCGGAGACACCUGCCGUCACCGCGGACCUAGAUCAGCCCUGAGAGCACGUCUCCCCUCUGCUGCAGCAGGAUGGCUGACGUCCCUGCAGGGUGCCCUCGGCAUGGAGUUCCCGUGACAACGAGAUGCAGCUUUCCAGGGCCACAGAUUCCUUGCAAGAUGAGGGGGCAGGGAUCACUCACCCUGCUGCUGAAAUGCAGCCACCUCUGGGGUGGGAUGCACCAGAGAGGAUGUUGCCGCAAACCCUGCUGCAUGGAUGCUCAACUCCCAGGAAGCAGACAGGGCUCAAGGAAUGUGAGAGCAGCAUCUGUCACCAGUUCACAGCGGCGAACACUUUUGUCUGGCUCUCGGGACCCUGGCAUGAGCUGAGGGAGACCGGACGGACGGCAGCUGCAAUUCUGCCAUCAGCAGCCAGACAGCCAGGAAAACAGGAAUGAAUGGAUUGGGGGGGGGGAGAAGAGGAGGUGCAAUAAAAGCCCUGACCACUGGGUGGUGCCCUCGUUC